rnacentral:rRNA from 1 species
UACGAAGGGGGCUAGCGUUGCUCGGAAUCACUGGGCGUAAAGGGUGCGUAGGCGGGUCUUUAAGUCAGGGGUGAAAUCCUGGAGCUCAACUCCAGAACUGCCUUUGAUACUGAGGAUCUUGAGUUCGGGAGAGGUGAGUGGAACUGCGAGUGUAGAGGUGAAAUUCGUAGAUAUUCGCAAGAACACCGGUGGCGAAGGCGGCCAACUGGACCAUUACUGACGCUGAGGCGCGAAAGCGUGGGGAGCAAACAGGA